rnacentral:rRNA from 1 species
AUUGAACGCUGGCGGCAUGCCUUACACAUGCAAGUCGAGCGGUAACAGGUCUUCGGAUGCUGACGAGUGGCGAACGGGUGAGUAAUACAUCGGAACGUGCCUAGUAGUGGGGGAUAACUACUCGAAAGAGGGGCUAAUACCGCAUGAGAUCUACGGAUGAAAGCAGGGGAUCGCAAGACCUUGUGCUACUAGAGCGGCCGAUGGCUGCUUAGGUAGUUGGUGGGAUAAAGGCUGACCAAGCCGACGAUCGGUAGCUGGUCUGAGAGGACGAUCAGCAACACUGGGACUGGGACACGGCCCACACUCCUACGGGAGGCAGCAGUGGGGAAUUUUGGACAAUGGGCGAAAGCCUGAUCCAGCAAUGCCGCGUGCAGGAUGGAGGCCUUCGGGUUGUAAACUGCUUUUGAACGGAACGAAAAGCCCCGGGUUAAUACCCUGGGGUCAUGACGGUACCGUAAGAAUAAGCACCGGCUAACUACGUGCCAGCCGCCGCAGUAA